GGCAGGACAAAAAAACAAAAGGGAUCUAAAAGAAUGUAGCCUCAUGCAUUUAUAUAUGAAGAAAUAAGUUAAAUAGUAUUAAAAACCAAUAUAUGGGACUUAUUUCUUAUAAAUUUAUGAUACUUCAUUCAGCCCCCCCAAAGUCCGCCUGGGUCAGGUAACCCUAAUAGGUCACAUCUCUGGCCUGCGUCAACCUACAGACACCAGGGAGGGCUCAAAUGAAAGCUUAUAGGCUGUAAAAAUACCUUAUAUUAAUAUAUUAGCAUACAUUGUAACCUAAAAGCUUCUAUGUAACAAUCUGGCAUAUGUACAGAUAUAUCAGUCUGCUUUAUCGUUUCAUCCAGCAUUUACGAGGUUAACUCCAGAGGCCGGGGAGUGGGGGUAGGGUCGGAGAUCAUUGGCUAGGGGUUGCCGCGGUUACCCCAUACAUGGGCAUUUUCCGCCUGGUUUAGUCUCGCUAGAAGCGGGAGGCUUGCUGCCUCCAUCUUGGAUCCUCUCCGUUAGUUUCGGUUUAAAAUGUAGCGAGUUGUGGCUCACAAAAGUGGAAAAAAAAAAUUUCGCUCAGGAGUUGGAGCAGAACACUUGCAGUUUUUAGACCAUUGUGGAUGUACUGUGUGUUUUGGACCAAAACGCUUUAUUGGAUUACAUUCGCUGGAUCAUAACGGACAGAAUGAGACCACACACGACAUGAAGAGCUCAGAAGUCGUCAAAACAUUUAAUAGGCGAGCACCCAGACUGGUGGUGGUAGUCGUGUUGAAUGGUCUCCAGCACCUCCCUCACCUGCCCUUUAGGAAGGCCUUUCCACUUGAGCAGGGCAGGCAGGAGCUCUGGGUCCUUGCUGCAGUCAAGAACGAAAGGAGAGUUAGACAGGUGCAGUUACACCAGUGUACCACCAGAGGCAGGCUCAACAGGUUGGCUUCUCCUGGAUUUAUCAGCAACAGACAGAAUCAGCUGCUGCUUAUCUCUUAUCCUGUGUCUACGUGUCUGCUCUUUAAUCAUUUUUCUUUAAUCCUAAUUCUUUUUAAUUUGUACUGAUUUACCCAAAGUCUUUCUGUAUGGUCGCAGCUGUGAGCUUCAGCGCCUCGUUGCACUCGCAGUCCAACAGCUCCUUGACCUUCAGCAGUAGUUGGUUCUGCUGUGGAACGUCGGGGGCCUGAGGCAGAACAUGCAGGUCAGAAGCGUGUGCAGGUUAAAGUGGGAAACGAGGCAUCUCCAUGCUGAUCUCACCAGCUCUGACAUGAUGCUGUGAAUUCCAUGAGCAUCUUCACCGAUGGUUUUGCUGACGUCAGGAUUCCAACAACUCUCCAGUUGACGCUUGUUGGUCUUGAUCAGAUGUUUGACAUAAAUCUGAACUAUGAGCUUGUAGGCCUUGUUCAAAACCCUCUGAAAAUAUAGAAGCUAAAAUAAAACAUGUUGCAAAUGCA
rnacentral:lncRNA from 1 species